AACACGUGGGUAACCUGCCCAUCAGAGGGGGAUAACACUUGGAAACAGGUGCUAAUACCGCAUAAUAGUCGACACCGCAUGGUGUUGAUUUGAAAGACGCUUUCGGGUGUUACUGAUGGAUGGACCCGCGGUGCAUUAGCUAGUUGGUGAGGUAACGGCUCACCAAGGCGAUGAUGCAUAGCCGACCUGAGAGGGUGAUCGGCCACACUGGGACUGAGACACGGCCCAGACUCCUACGGGAGGCAGCAGUAGGGAAUCUUCGGCAAUGGACGAAAGUCUGACCGAGCAACGCCGCGUGAGUGAAGAAGGUUUUCGGAUCGUAAAACUCUGUUGUUAGAGAAGAACAAGUAGGAGAGUAACUGCUCUUACCUUGACGGUAUCUAACCAGAAAGCCACGGCUAACUACGUGCCAGCAGCCGCGGUAAUACGUAGGUGGCAAGCGUUGUCCGGAUUUAUUGGGCGUAAAGCGAGCGCAGCGGUUUCUUAAGUCUGAUGUGAAAGCCCCCGGCUCAACCGGGGAGGGUCAUUGGAAACUGGGAGACUUGGGUGCAGAAGAGGAGAGUGG
rnacentral:rRNA from 1 species